AAGCAACUCUGGGUUUUCGGUUUCAGAACAGGUGAUCAGCGUUGGGUUAAUCAACUCUGAGUAUGUUCACUCUGGGUUGAGGGCGUGCCUGUUGACUAUGAAGAGCCAUCAUCAAUGGAUCUCUGAUAACAUGAUCAAACAUGGACCAAAAGCGUAGAUCCACUUACUUUUCCCCCACGGAAUUGGAAAUUCUAAUGAACGCGUAUGCCGAGCAGUUAACUGCUCCCGCGGCAGCGAGAGCGUGAGAGAGAGCUCGGCAGGAAAUAGCUGAACAAGUCAAUGUGAACAACCCGAGUUGCCCAACGAGGACUUGGCAGCAAAUGAAGAUGAAGUACAAAAAUAUAGUUCAAACAGGAAGAUGAUGGAGAACAUUGUCUGCGGCAUUCAAAAUGGAAGAGGAAAGGCCUAUUGAGGAUGAAAUCGAAUCCAAUGAGAGGCCAUCCACUUCUAAAUCACAGCUUACCUCUGUAAGAUUCUCCCUGGAAUUAUAAUGAAACGCUCUACUUGGCAGUGUGAAAUCCCAUCUCAUCUUUUGCAUUCCUAUAGCUUCCAGUCAAAGACUUAUAUAAAAUCUAUCUAGAAAAGCAAAUACACAAAGCAGACUUGGAAAUGGACCACCUUAGGCAAAAGAUGCAAAAGGAUGCUUUGGAGUGUGUGUGUGCUAAAGUUAAAGGUGGGUGAGGUGCAAACUGGGAUACUGUUCCCUGCUCUAAAAACAUACCCAAUAUGAAUGACUUUUUUUGUGCU
ensembl:lncRNA